AGCUCCAAUAGCGUAUAUUAAAGUUGUUGCAGUUAAAAAGCUCGUAGUUGGAUUUGUGGUGUACUUCGGCGGCCCGUCACUAUGUGAUGGAGCUUGCUGAAGUCGCCAUCCUUGGGUGGAUCCUGUGUGGCAUUAAGUUGUCGUGCAGGGGAUGCCCAUCGUUUACUGUGAAAAAAUUAGAGUGUUCAAAGCAGGCUUAUGCCGUUGAAUAUAUUAGCAUGGAAUAAUAAGAUAGGACCUUGGUACUAUUUUGUUGGUUUGCGCACCAAGGUAAUGAUUAAUAGGGACAGUUGGGGGUAUUCGUAUUUCAUUGUCAGAGGUGAAAUUCUUGGAUUUUUGAAAGACGAACUACUGCGAAAGCAUUUACCAAGGAUGUUUUCA
rnacentral:rRNA from 2 species